rnacentral:rRNA from 1 species
CAGUAGCCGCGGUAAUACGUAGGUGGCAAGCGUUAUCCGGAAUUAUUGGGCGUAAAGCGCGCGUAGGCGGUUUCUUAAGUCUGAUGUGAAAGCCCACGGCUCAACCGUGGAGGGUCAUUGGAAACUGGGAAACUUGAGUGCAGAAGAGGAAAGUGGAAUUCCAUGUGUAGCGGUGAAAUGCGCAGAGAUAUGGAGGAACACCAGUGGCGAAGGCGACUUUCUGGUCUGUAACUGACGCUGAUGUGCGAAAGCGUGGGGAUCAAACAGGAUUAGAUACCCGCGUAGUCCCUGUCUCUUAUAC